GUCGUCGGGACACUGAACACGCUGGAGUUUUGUCCCUCUGAGGGAUUUAAACCAAAUAUUCUCAGGGACAAUAAACCCAGCAGGAAACCUGAGCAAGACCCCUUUCCUUGUCCCUACUCUGAGGUGAGCAACGUGCACAAACCAUCACCCUGAUUUUAAGCAGCAUCUGUUCUCUUGGGACUCAGCUUUGCCAGAUCCAGAGGGGAAUGUGGGGAAUGCUAGAGGCAGCAGUGAACUGGACAAGCACCUGAAGAAGCCUGACCCCCUCAUUUCUGAUGGCAAGUGAGAGGAAACACCACGAGGAUGAGGGACCUGGCCACAAACGUGACAUCAGUGUGGCUUUUCUCUGGCUUUGGAUGAGCAGUGCUGCCCUGCACUUCGACUGCUCAGUGAUAAGAGUGACCUCUGGGAAUAAAGCCCCCCAGGGAAGGGUUUUCACUCGCUCUUCCCAUCCUAACAACCAGCUUUUUGCAUCAAAACCUGGCAGGGAGUGAAGAGGUCAGUGAGGAGCUGAGGCCAGUGAGGAGCUGAGGCCAGUGAGGAGCUGAGGCCAGUCAGCACAGCGGCUGCUGGCAAGGAUUCCACAGGAAUGUGCAAUUUGUCUGGUGAAGGAAGAACUUCCCUGGAUUAGUCACAGCAACUGCCCUGGGUAAUUCACAGGAACUUCCCCAGAGCCUUGUAAACAGGAGCUCCCGGUUCCCUCGGAGUGGCGCGAGCAAACUAACAUCAUAACAGGAGUGUUUAUGGAAAAAUGCUCAAGCACUGAAGCAGAAAGGGCUUAGCACUGAUCAGACCUCUCUCCCACCUUUAUUCUUCGCCAUCCACAUUGAAAUGCAAAUACCAGCGCCGGGUUUCCACCAGCGUGCCACUCACAAAUUGAAAAGCAGUUUUUAUCUAUGCAAAUGUAAGCAUGGUAAUUGAAGUUAAUCAAUCAAUGCUAGCUUUCACUAAAACCUUGAACAUGAUUGAAUAAAGUAAUUAUCA